GACACUAUGGCCGAGUGGUUAAGGCGACAGAUUCGAACUUAGAGUUUGUUAUCUGUUUCCCUCUGGGAGCGCAGGUUCAAAUCCUGCUGGUGUCG